CCCAGCCCAUUCCCGCGCGCUCCCAGGGCUCUCAGGCUGGAGCAGGGUGUGUGCUGGCAGGGCUGAGCUCUGUCAGAACAUCCCUGUGCAGAUGGUCUGUCUGGCACCCUAUUGUGAGAGCUGAGACCCCAGCAGCCACCGCUAGAAGUGCUCGAGGUUUUUUUCCGAGGCUGUGGAAGGAAUCAGGGGAAGGAAACGUGGUUGUGGGGUUGUUUUUUUUCAUUUCAUCAGGGAUGCUGUAAAAACUCGAGUGACACUUCAUCCCACAGACAGCAGCAGAGAAACCAAGCAACAAUAAAUAUUGAAACAGUAGCACAACCUUGCAGACAGACCUCGUUUUUGCUGUUAAAAAGGAGCUGAAGUGUAAUCUUAGACAUUAGCAGCUAUCGAGCGGAGCUGCAGCGUGAGGGGAUUUGGCAUUUGGAGCUGCUACAAGUGCUCAACUUUCUCCUGCUUUUUUCAGAGGUUCUGGGUAAAAAAAAACAACAACAAAACGUGCUUGGCUUUUCCAGAAGGAAUAGGAAGCUUUUCCCUGGGUUUGGAGGCUGGAGUGUUUGCUGGAAUUACCUGAGCAGCUCAGAGCUGGGUGUGAGGAUGUGCUGAGCUCACUUUUAUUCACAUUUUGUGGCUCUCCUUUGUCCCCCCCAGUGCUCCUUCCUCACCCAAAGCUCCCCCUGUCCCCUCCGAGCCCAGAGGGACAAUUUGUGGCUUUAAAAACGAUCCCCAGGGGUUUUUUUUGUGUUUGCUGUUUGUUCCCAUUCCAAAGGAGAUGGGAUCCGGCCAGGGUUGUUAUAGAAACUCCCAAGAUUUCCUCAAGAGAAAGGGGAAAAAAUAGCAGCGAGCCCCAUUCAUCCCUCGCUGCUGCUCCCCAUUCAGAGCUGCUGGCUGGGACAGAGCUGGGUGGACGGGAAUACAGGGAAUACAGGGAAUAUCGGGAAUACAGGGAAUUCUGGGAAUACAGGGAAUUCUGGGAAUACAGGGAAUACAGGGAAUACAGGGAAUACAGGGAAUAUCGGGGAAUACAGGGAAUACCGGGGAAUAUUGGGGAAAUCAGGGAAUACAGGGAAUACAGGGAAUAUCGGGGAAUUCUGGGAAUACAGGGAAUAUCGGGGAAUAUCGGGAAUACAGGGAAUAUCGGGGAAUACAGGGAAUACAGGGAAUUCUGGGAAAUCAGGGAAUACAGGGAAUUCUGGGAAUACAGGGAAUACAGGGAAUACAGGGAAUANCUGCAGCCAGGGCACAGCUGGAUCUCCAUGGCCAUGGGGAGCUGGGCUGUGUCUGCAGCCAGGGCACAGCUGGAUCUCCUCAGCCAUGGGGAGCUGGAGCUGCUGCUGCUGGCCACGGCAGCCGGGGCUGGGACACGUCCUGCAGGUCCUGGCUGGGAAACAUCCCCCAGGUCCUGGCUGGGGUGGGACACGUCUCCCAGGUCCUGGCUGGGCUGGGACACGUCCCCCAGGUCCUGGCUGGGCUGGGACAUCUCCCCCAGGUCCUGGCUGGGCUGGGACAUCUCCCCCAGGUCCUGGCUGGGCUGGGACAUCUCCC
rnacentral:lncRNA from 1 species